rnacentral:rRNA from 1 species
AUUGAACGCUGGCGGCAGGCCUAACACAUGCAAGUCGAGCGGAUGAAGGGAGCUUGCUCCUGGAUUCAGCGGCGGACGGGUGAGUAAUGCCUAGGAAUCUGCCUGGUAGUGGGGGAUAACGCCCGGAAACGGGCGCUAAUACCGCAUACGUCCUGAGGGAGAAAGUGGGGGAUCUUCGGACCUCACGCUAUCAGAUGAGCCUAGGUCGGAUUAGCUAGUUGGUGGGGUAAAGGCCUACCAAGGCGACGAUCCGUAACUGGUCUGAGAGGAUGAUCAGUCACACUGGAGCUGAGACACGGUCCAGACUCCUACGGGAGGCAGCAGUGGGGAAUAUUGGACAAUGGGCGAAAGCCUGAUCCAGCCAUGCCGCGUGUGUGAAGAAGGUCUUCGGAUUGUAAAGCACUUUAAGUUGGGAGGAAGGGCAGUAAGUUAAUACCUUGCUGUUUUGACGUUACCAACAGAAUAAGCACCGGCUAACUUCGUG